AACGAACGCUGGCGGCGUGCCUAACACAUGCAAGUCGAACGGGAAAACCCGCAAGGGUGAGUACAGUGGCGCACGGGUGCGUAACACGUGGGUAAUCUGCCCAGAAGCCCGGAAUAACUCCCCGAAAGGGGUGCUAAUGCCGGAUGAGACCACGGGGACUUCGGUUCCUGGGGGAAAAGGUGGUCUAUGUAUACAAGCUAUCACUUCUGGAUGAGCCCGCGGCCCAUCAGCUAGUUGGCGGGGUAAUGGCCCACCAAGGCUACGACGGGUAGCUGUUCUGGGAGGAAGAUCAGCCACACUGGAACUGAGACACGGUCCAGACUCCUACGGGAGGCAGCAGUGGGGAAUCUUGCGCAAUGGGCGAAAGCCUGACGCAGCAACGCCGCGUGUGUGAUGAAGGUCUUCGGAUCGUAAAGCACUGUCGGGAGGGACGAAUAAGGGCCGGGUGAACAAUCCGGUUCGACGACGGUACCUCCAGAGGAAGCACCGGCUAACUCUGUGCCAGCCGCCGCCGUAAAAC
rnacentral:rRNA from 1 species